AUUGAACGCUGGCGGCAUGCUUUACACAUGCAAGUCGAACGGUAACAGGCCGCAAGGUGCUGACGAGUGGCGAACGGGUGAGUAAUGCAUCGGAACGUGCCCAGUCGUGGGGGAUAACGCAGCGAAAGCUGUGCUAAUACCGCAUACGAUCUAUGGAUGAAAGCGGGGGACCGUAAGGCCUCGUGCGAUUGGAGCGGCCGAUGUCAGAUUAGGUAGUUGGUGGGGUAAAGGCCUACCAAGCCGACGAUCUGUAGCUGGUCUGAGAGGACGACCAGCCACACUGGGACUGAGACACGGCCCAGACUCCUAUGGGAGGCAGCAGUGGGGAAUUUUGGACAAUGGGCGCAAGCCUGAUCCAGCAAUGCCGCGUGCAGGAAGAAGGCCUUCGGGUUGUAAACUGCUUUUGUACGGAACGAAACGGUCUGGGUUAAUACCCUGGGCUAAUGACGGUACCGUAAGAAUAAGCACCGGCUAACUACGUGCCAGCAGCCGCGGUAAAAC
rnacentral:rRNA from 1 species